UACAGAGGAUGCAAGCGUUAUCCGGAAUGAUUGGGCGUAAAGCGUCUGUAGGUGGCUUUUUAAGUCCGCCGUCAAACCCCAGGGCUCAACUCUGGACAGGCGGUGGAAACUACCAAGCUGGAGUACGGUAGGGGCAGAGGGAAUUUCCGGUGGAGCGGUGAAAUGCGCAGAGAUCGGGAGGAACACCGGUGGCGAAGGCGGGUCUCUGGGCCGAUACUGACACUGAGGAGCGAAAGCGUGGGGAGCGAACAGG
rnacentral:rRNA from 1 species